rnacentral:rRNA from 1 species
GAGUUUGAUCAUGGCUCAGAACGAACGCUGGCGGCAGGCCUAACACAUGCAAGUCGAACGCUCGUAGCAAUACGGGAGUGGCGCACGGGUGAGUAACGCGUGGGCACCUGCCCGGUGGUUUGGAAUAACCGCGGGAAACUGCGGCUAAUACCGAAUACGCCCCUUGGGGGAAAGAUUUAUCGCCAUCGGAUGGGCCCGCGUAGGAUUAGCUAGUUGGUGAGGUAACGGCUCACCAAGGCAACGAUCCUUAGCUGGUCUGAGAGGAUGAUCAGCCACACUGGGACUGAGACACGGCCCAGACUCCUACGGGAGGCAGCAGUGGGGAAUAUUGGUCAAUGGGCGCAAGCCUGAACCAGCCAUGCCGCGUGCAGGAUGACGGUCCUAUGGAUUGUAAACUGCUUUUGUACAGGAAGAAACAGUUCUACGUGUAGAACCUUGACGGUACUGUAAGAAUAAGGAUCGGCUAACUCCGUGCCAGCCGCCGCUGUAAU